rnacentral:rRNA from 1 species
AUUCCAGCUCCAAUAGCGUAUAUUAAAGUUGUUGCAGUUAAAAAGCUCGUAGUUGGAUUUGUGGCAGUGCUCGAGUGCCUUUUUUGGACGCUUUGAGCACAGCCAUCCUUGGGAGGAAUUCGUGUGGCAUUAGGUUGUUGCAUGGGGGAUACUCAACUUUUACUGUGAAAAAAUCAGCGCGUUCAAAGCAAGCUUAUGCUCUUGAAUGUAUUAGCAUGGAAUAAUAAGAUAGGACUUUAGUACUAUUUUGUUGGUUUGCGUAUUAAGGUAAUGAUUAAUAGGGAUAGUUGGGGGUAUUCGUAUUCCAUUGUCAGAGGUGAAAUUCUUGGAUUUUUGGAAGACGAACUACUGCGAAAGCAUUUACCAAGGAUGUUUUC